AGCCUCUUGUAAAAAAAUAAGAGGUGAAGCCUGCCCGGUGACUCACGAGUUCAACGGCCGCGGUACCCUGACCGUGCUAAGGUAGCAUAUAAUAUGCCCUUUAAUUGGGGGCUAGAAUGAAUGGACAAACGAAAGUAUGGCUGUCUCUUCUAUACAAUUAUAAUUUUACCUUCAGGUGAAAAGGCCUGAGUUAUACUAAAAGACAAAAAGACCCCGUAGAGCUUUAUUAUAAAAACAUAAAAUAAAUAUACAAAUAUAAUUUCUUUUAUAAAAUACAUAAUUUUACUGGGGCGGUAUAAGAGCAAAUAACCCUCUUAUUUAUAUUAAGGAAACUAACCGAUCCAUUGAUCCUUACUAGAUUAAAGAAACAAGCUACCUCGGGGAUAACAGGCUUAUUUCUUUUAAGAGUACAUAUCGAAAAAGAAGUUUGGCACCUCGAUGUUGGCUUAGGGGCUCCAAGGAGUAGCAGAAGCCCCUGUGGCUGGUUUGUUCAACCAUUAAACCCCU
rnacentral:rRNA from 1 species